AGUUAGUCCACCAUCCAUUUUGGAUUUUCCUAAGCCGCACGUUUGUAUGCGAUAUUUAGCCGAUGAUUUUUAAAUGCAACAUUAAAAGCAAUGAAUGGCAAUAAAAAAUAGUUCGCGGAUAGACAUAUUUUGAAUCCUAUUUGAGAUUUAAAAUUGUUAAAAAAAGACAAAAAUACACUACUAACAAUACAAAAUGGAGGGAGCAGAAACAGGUGGUGGUUAAAUUGGAGUGCAGAGAUAGAAAAUUUUGUUAUACAAAUUUAAAGGAAUUCCGUUGAUGACGACCAGGACAAAUCCAAUGAAGCAACAAAACUGGACAACCUUCUGGAGAUUGAUCGGGAAAUGCUGGAAGUCCAGAAGGAGCAGCAGAAAUUACAGGAGGAGCAUCAGAAAACAAAGCAAUAGAUACUCCAGUAAAAUUCGAGCAAUUCGAGGCCAAGCCAACUUCCAAUCAGAGCUGCUGCAAUUUUUAAGGGAGUCCAAAGAGAAAUGUUAUCAAGAUCUUAUAUGUAUAGUUUUAUUGUAACCAAUAAAAUCGCCAAUUUAUUCAUGUGAACUUGUAAAA